UGGUCAAGCGUUUAAGGGCACGUGGUGGAUGCCUAGGCGCUGGAGGCCGAAGAAGGGCGCGGCAAGGCUGCGAAAAGCCUCGGUUAGCUGCCUAGCGAGCUUAGCCGGGGAUUCCCGAAUGGGGCAACCCGUCCCGGUGACAAGCCGGGACACCCCCGCUUCGGCGGGGGAGGGAACCGGGGGAACCGAAACAUCCUAGUACCCCGAGGAAAAGAGACUAUUCCCCUAGUAGUGGCGAGCGAACGGGGAAGAGCCUAAACUGGGCGGGAAGGUAACGGCCCACGGGCUAAUGCCCGCCCGGGGUUGCGGGACACAGGCGGGGCCGGCCGUGGCAGGCCCGGGGAGUUACAAAGCUCCACCCUAGCCGAAGGACCCUGGAACGGGCCGCCAGAGAGGGUGAAAGCCCCGUAGGCGAAAGGGUAGGGGCCUCCCUGGCCUGUGCUCCCAAGUACCGCGGGGCACGUGAAACCCUGCGGGAAUCCGGGGGGACCACCCUCCAAGGCUAAAUACCUCCAGCGACCGAUAGUGCACCAGUACCGUGAGGGAAAGGUGAAAGAGCACCCCGGGAGGGGAGUUCAAAGGUCCUGAAACCGCGUGCCCACAAACCGUCGGAGCCUGGGGCGACCCGGGUGACGGCGUGCCUAUUGAAGUAU
rnacentral:rRNA from 1 species